GCCCCCCUCAGCUUAUACGUGAGUGAGGUGGGCGGUGGCGGAGGGACGAGCGGUGAGAAAGGAGCCCUUUCGGGCUGUCAGUGGCGGCGGCAGAGGAACGAGCAGCCUGAAAAGGCUCCUUUCUUGCCACUUGUCCCUCUGCUGCCGCCUCUGCCCCUGUCGGCGGAGGAGGA